ACUCUCGACGACGGAUAUCUCGGCUCUCGCAUCGAUGAAAAACGUAGUGAAAUGCGAUACUUGGUGUGAAUUGCAGAAUCCCGUGAACCAUCGAGUCUUUGAACGCAAGUUGCGCCCGAAGCCGUCAGGCCGAGGGCACGUCUGCCUGGGCGUC
rnacentral:rRNA from 1 species